rnacentral:rRNA from 1 species
UUCGGAUUGAAGUUUUUGUGACUGAGUGGCGGACGGGUGAGUAACGCGUGGGUAACCUGCCUCAUACAGGGGGAUAACAGUUAGAAAUGACUGCUAAUACCGCAUAAGCGCACAGGACCGCAUGGUCAAGUGUGAAAAACUGAGGUGGUAUGAGAUGGACCCGCGUCUGAUUAGCUAGUUGGUGAGGUAAGGGCUCACCAAGGCAACGAUCAGUAGCCGACCUGAGAGGGUGACCGGCCACAUUGGGACUGAGACACGGCCCAAACUCC